GAUGAACGCUGGCGGCGUGCCUAAUACAUGCAAGUCGAGCGAACAGACGAGGAGCUUGCUCCUCUGACGUUAGCGGCGGACGGGUGAGUAACACGUGGAUAACCUACCUAUAAGACUGGGAUAACUUCGGGAAACCGGAGCUAAUACCGGAUAAUAUAUUGAACCGCAUGGUUCAAUAGUGAAAGACGGUUUUGCUGUCACUUAUAGAUGGAUCCGCGCCGCAUUAGCUAGUUGGUAAGGUAACAGCUUACCAAGGCAACGAUGCGUAGCCGACCUGAGAGGGUGAUCGGCCACACUGGAACUGAGACACGGUCCAGACUCCUACGGGAGGCAGCAGUAGGGAAUCUUCCGCAAAGGGCGAAAGCCUGACGGAGCAACGCCGCGUGAGUGAUGAAGGUCUUCGGAUCGUAAAACUCUGUUAUUAGGGAAGAACAAAUGUGCAAGUAACUAUGCACGUCUUGACGGUACCUAAUCAGAAAGCCACGGCUAACUACGUG
rnacentral:rRNA from 1 species